rnacentral:rRNA from 1 species
GAUGAACGCUGGCGGCGUGCCUAAUACAUGCCAGUCGAGCGAACAGACGAGGAGCUUGCUCCUCUGACGUUAGCGGCGGACGGGUGAGUAACACGUGGAUAACCUACCUAUAAGACUGGGAUAACUUCGGGAAACCGGAGCUAAUACCGGAUAAUAUAUUGAACCGCAUGGUUCAAUAGUGAAAGACGGUUUUGCUGUCACUUAUAGAUGGAUCCGCGCCGCAUUAGCUAGUUGGUAAGGUAACCGCUUACCAAGGCAACGAUGCGUAGCCGACCUGAGAGGGUGAUCAGCCCCACUGGAACGGAGGCACGGUCCAGGCGCCUACGGGAGGCAGCAGUAGGCAAUCUUACGCAAUGGGCGGAAGCCGGGCGGAGCAACGCCGCGUCAGUAAUGAAGAUCUUCGGAUCGUAAAAAUCUGUUAUUAGGGAAGAACAAAUGUGUAAGUAACUAUGCACGUAUUGACGGUACCUAAUCAGAAAGCCACGGCUAACUACGAG